CUUUCUGUAGCCCUAGUUAUGAUGCAAUAGCUCCUCCCUUCUCUCUCAGGGCCUGUACUUUGUCUGAAGAGAGAACAUGGCUGCCCAGCCUCUGGGAAACUAUCAUUUUUUUCACCUGCUGUAGUGUGAUGUUUUACAAGAUUUGCCCAGAAUAAAGGACCUGGAACCUUGUUUUGCAUCUCUGCAGCUGAGUUGACACUAUCUGACAAAAUUUCUGGUGAAGAGUCCCAUCAAGAAAAAGCCAAAGAAAAAGCCUGUCCCAAUCGGCAAAGAGGAAGAGGAAGACUUGGACCAGGAGACCUUCAUCAUACGCAAAGAGAGGAUGUGGGCCAUCAAGAAAGCUCUGAAGGAGCUGGUCAACCUGGACAGAGGGCUCUCUUGGUAAGAACAGGUGGAACACAUCCACAGCUGCCUGCUGAAGAUCGGCGACCACAUCUCCGAGUGGAUUCAGCAUUCAACAGGGUUUGUGUCCUCUCUCCCAUCCAAAAGCUUGGGGAAGUUACUUUUUAGGACUAUAGCUCUCUGAACCCUGU
rnacentral:lncRNA from 11 species